GAUCCUUUUUCAGCAGUGCACUGUUUAAAAACCCUUGUUUCAUGCUAGCUGUCUCUUUUUUUAGAUGCUUUUUCUAGCUAGUCUGGUAGCUAGCUAGAUAGCUACCACGUUUUUCCUCAUCAAAAAAAAAACCCCUCUGGAGUUUCACUUUUAAUUCUUCUUGGUGAAAGCAACGCAGGUGUUUCGUUUUUUCAGCAAUACCUACUAGUGGCUUCCUCAACAAAUACCUCUGAAGAAAAGAGGAUUCGUUUCUACAGAAAUGGCUGCGUUUGUUUGCGUCAUUAGGUGAUUUUACAAAGAGCUGGG